GGGCUUUCAGGUUUCUCACGUCCCCUUCUGCUGUGGCUUCUGUGCUGAAUCUGCACUCCCAAUUCCCCUGCUCCCCUGAGUUCUGUCCAGGAAACUUUGCAUUCAGUCAAAAUUGUUACAAAGUUCAGCUGGAAGUUUCCUCCUCCCUCUGGUCUUUCCUCAGUUCCUCUGGCAGCCUUCCCCUAAGGACCUCUGCAAGACAAAGUCAGAAAUGGCUUUCCCGAGGAUUUAGAGAGCCCACAGGGCUCUUCCUACUGCUUCUUCUACCCCUGUUUUUCAUUCAGCUCUCUAAACUUGUCUCAGCUCCAGAUGUCGACAGCAACAUCUCCCCCAGGUGUAACAACUAAACGUGUCUCCAGACAUUGGCAAAUAUCCUUGGGCCAUGGAGAAAACAUCACCUUCAAUUGAAAACCACUGGGCCACUCUAAUGCCUUCAAGGGACAGAUCCCAGGUCUAAACCCUAGCCAAAACCCCUUGUGUUAGAGGAGCUCACCCUUUACUGCUGAUGAAAUCUCCAUGAUGAAGUGCUUUCCUGGUGACACCCAGAGAUCGUUUGCUAUGUGAAUGCUUUUCUUGCUCAAAUUUCAACAAACAUGAUUGCCAAAAAAGAAAAAAAAAAGAAGAGAAAAGAGAACAGAAAAGAAGAAAAGAAAAGAAAGAAAGGAGAAGAGAGAGAAAGAGAGAAGAGAAGAGAAGAGAAAAGAAGAAAAGAAAAGAAAAGACCAGACCAGACCCAUAGAAUCCUAUGGGAUCUGCUGACAUGUUUGUCUGAACUUCGUCUUCCAUAUCACUGUCAAGAUAGUUUUUCUAACUCACCACUCCAAAAUCUAUGAAAAGCCUCCAUAAGCCCCUAGUUGCCCUCCAAAUUAUAACUGCAUUUGGUUCACACUUUUCCCUCCUCCUGAAGUGACUUUCCUUCUUAUUCCGCUUUUAAAAACUUUAUCACCUGCAAAAUUCACUUCAAAAAGAGCUCCCUCCAUGAAGGUUUAAUUACUCUCUUGGCCCUAAAGGAAUGACAUCUCCUGUUUGGCCUGUUCACAUUGCUGCACUGCACUGGUAACUCUUCAACGAAACCCAUUUUUACUCUUACCUCUUAUUGUUACUUAUGUACAGGUCUUAUUGCCUCUCUCAACCUCAACUAAACUAUUUAAGAGAAGUGUACUCAUCUGUUUAUUUCCUGCUGAGUCUAGUCCAAUCUCUUAUAAUUUUUAGACCAUUAAAAAGCUAUUUGCUGAAGUGAAUUGAGUUGAAAUUGGUAUAGACAAGCCAGUAUGUCUGGUCAUCUUAAUCUAUAUGUUAUUGAACAAUGUGCCAGCUGGAAUCUCCUUUUAUGUAGUGUCCUUCUCAGUAUUCUUUUUCCUUUCCCAUGGCAUUUUGAGUCCUACUGCUAAAGUAGAAAAUUUAAGAAAGCAUGUUUUCCAUAGUGAAAGAAACAUAGGUAAAAUUCUGAUAAAAAUAAAGCAUUAGAACUGAACAUUCAAUUAGUAAAUGCUAAUAAAUCCAUGGACUAAAACAAAAGUUAUCAUAAAAGUAGCUAGCAAUGCACAAGGACAUGUUUAGAUAAUAUUAUACAAUUUAUGCUUAUUUUCUUUCUCCAGUGCUCAUUCUUUCCAAAUGUUUGUUAUCUAUGCUGGAUCUUGAUGAGAGGAAG
rnacentral:lncRNA from 1 species